rnacentral:rRNA from 1 species
AAGGCUUGACAUGUUAACCGUGGCUCUAGAGAUAGGGUUUACCCUUUUGGGUGGUUUUCACAGGUGGUGCAUGGUUGUCGUCAGCUCGUGUCGUGAGAUGUUGGGUUAAGUCCCGCAACGAGCGCAACCCUUGUCCCGUGUUGCCAGCACGUUGUGGUGGGGACUCGCGGGAGACUGCCGGGGUCAACUCGGAGGAAGGUGGGGAUGACGUCAAAUCAUCAUGCCCCUUAUGUCUUGGGCUUCACGCAUGCUACAAUGGCCGGUACAGAGGGUUGCGAUACUGUGAGGUGGAGCUAAUCCCUUAAAGCUGGUCUCAGUUCGGAUUGGUGUCUGCAACUCGACACCAUGAAGGUGGAGUCGCUAGUAAUCGCAGAUCAGCAACGCUGCGGUGAAUACGUUCUCGGGCC